rnacentral:tRNA from 1 species
GGAGGGGUGGCAGAGUGGUCGAAUGCACCGGUCUUGAAAACCGGCGAGCCUUCACGGGUUCCGCGGGUUCGAAUCCCGCCCCCUCCGCCA